rnacentral:rRNA from 1 species
AAAUUGAAGAGUUUGAUCAUGGCUCAGAUUGAACGCUGGCGGCAGGCCUAACACAUGCAAGUCGAACGGUAACAGGAAGCAGCUUGCUGCUUCGCUGACGAGUGGCGGACGGGUGAGUAAUGUCUGGGAAACUGCCUGAUGGAGGGGGAUAACUACUGGAAACGGUGGCUAAUACCGCAUAACGUCGCAAGACCAAAGAGGGGGACCUUUGGGCCUCUUGCCAUCAGAUGUGCCCAGAUGGGAUUAGCUUGUUGGUGAGGUAACGGCUCACCAAGGCGACGAUCCCUAGCUGGUCUGAGAGGAUGACCAGCCACACUGGAACUGAGACACGGUCCAGACUCCUACGGGAGGCAGCAGUGGGGAAUAUUGCACAAUGGGCGCAAGCCUGAUGCAGCCAUGCCGCGUGUAUGAAGAAGGCCUUCGGGUUGUAAAGUACUUUCAGCGGGGAGGAAGGUGUUGUGGUUAAUAACCGCAGCAAUUGACGUUACCCGCAGAAGAAGCACCGGCUAACUCCGUGCCAGCAGCCGCGGUAAUACGGAGGGUGCAAGCGUUAAUCGGAAUUACUGGGCGUAAAGCGCACGCAGGCGGUCUGUCAAGUCGGAUGUGAAAUCCCCGGGCUCAACCUGGGAACUGCAUUCGAAACUGGCAGGCUUGAGUCUUGUAGAGGGGGGUAGAAUUCCAGGUGUAGCGGUGAAAUGCGUAGAGAU